rnacentral:lncRNA from 10 species
GUGGAAUGAAUGGUCCCCCCUGCAGCUCAGCCUCAUCUCCUUAAUGGAUCCUAAUUACCCCUGUCCUGCUUAUAGCUUCUCUCCAGGACCCACUUGUCAGGAUGAUGGAUGAGGUGACUGGGAGGUGGGGCCAGCUGGGACUGGAGGAAUCCCCCCACUGUCUAGUAGGGCGGGGACGCAGGAACUUUCAGUCAGUCCCAAAGAUUCUGAGGAAGAGAAGACAACAUUGCAGGAUGAGCUCUUCUCCCCUUUUGUCCCCAAAACUUGGGCCAGGACAUUUCCUCAUGAUUAAUUUCAGACCAUACAUCUUUGGCAAGAGUUUCACAGAAACUUCUCAUCGCAUCUUAUCAGGCGGCACACGAUUCUGUUUUGUCUUGGAAUGAAGGAUGCUGACUUUGAUCACUUGCUUGCCGUAGUGUCUGCCAGCCGUCUCCACCAUCAAGCUACUCUUUUCUUCUUUCCUGUGCUGGGCUGUCCUCUGCCCUAAGGCAGAAGCCCUCCUCACUCCUCAGGUCUCCACACUCCAUGCUCAUUGUCUCAUGCUGCCCAAGCUCCUCAUCUCCGUGGAGCCCCACACACCAUGCCGGGUUUAGCCCUGGCCACCCUCUCAUGCCUCUGUCACAGCCUCAGCCUCGAUAUACUGUUGGUCUCCAACACCUCCGUGGGCCACUGCAUGUCCCCUCUGCUCUGGCACAGGUGCCUGCUCUUCUAGGUCUCCCUAAUGGUUUGCGGAUUGAAUAGUUUAAGCAGGGAAGGAAUAGGAAGGAAGGAAGGAAGGAAAGAAGGAAGGAAGAAGGAAGGGGAAGAGGAAGAGAAAGGAGAAGAAAGAGGAGGAGGAGGAAAAAGAGGAAGAAGAAGGAGGAGGAGGAGAAGGAGGAGGAGGGGGAAGAGGAGGAGGAAAAGAAGCAGAGGAAGAAGAAGAAGAGGAAGAAGAAGAAGAAGAAAGAAGAGGAAGAAGAAGAAAGAAGAAGAAGAAGAAG